rnacentral:rRNA from 1 species
UUGUCUGGAUUUAUUGGGCGUAAAGCGAGCGCAGGUGGUUUCUUAAGUCUGAUGUAAAAGGCAGUGGCUCAACCAUUGUGUGCAUUGAAAACUGGGAGACUUGAGUGCAGGAGAGGAGAGUGGAAUUCCAUGUGUAGCGGUGAAAUGCGUAGAUAUAUGGAGGAACACCGGAGGCGAAAGCGGCUCUCUGGCCUGUAACUGACACUGAGGCUCGAAAGCGUGGGGAGCAAACAGGAUUAGAUACUGGUAGUCCACGCCGUAAACGAUGAGUGCUAGCUGUAGGGAGCUAUAAGUUCUCUGUAGCGCAGCUAACGCAUUAAGCACUCCGCCUGGGGAGUACGACCGCAAGGUUGAAACUCAAAGGAAUUGACGGGGGCCCGCACAAGCGGUGGAGCAUGUGGUUUAAUUCGAAGCAACGCGAAGAACCUUACCAGGUCUUGACAUACUCGUGCUAUCCUUAGAGAUAAGGAGUUCCUUCGGGACACGGGAUACAGGUGGUGCAUGGUUGUCGUCAGCUCGUGUCGUGAGAUGUUGGGUUAAGUCCCGCAACGAGCGCAACCCUUAUUACUAGUUGCCAUCAUUAAGUUGGGCACUCUAGUGAGACUGCCGGUGAUAAACCGGAGGAAGGUGGGGAUGACGUCAAAUCAUCAUGCCCCUUAUGACCUGGGCUACACACGUGCUACAAUGGAUGGUACAACGAGUCGCCAACCCGCGAGGGUGCGCUAAUCUCUUAAAACCAUUCUCAGUUCGGAUUGCAGGCUGCAACUCGCCUGCAUGAAGUCGGAAUCGCUAGUAAUCGCGGAUCAGCACGCCGCGGUGAAUACGUUCCCGGGCCUUGUACACACCGCCCGUCACACCACGGAAGUUGGGAGUACCCAAAGUAGGU